rnacentral:rRNA from 1 species
UACGGGGGGGGCAAGCGUUGUUCGGAAUUACUGGGCGUAAAGGGCUCGUAGGCGGCCAACUAAGUCGGACGUGAAAUCCCCAGGCUCAACCUGGGAACUGCGUCCGAUACUGGAUGGCUUGAAUUCGGGAGAGGGAUGCAGAAUUCCAGGUGUAGCGGUGAAAUGCGCAGAUAUCAGGAGGAACACCGGUGGCGAAGGCGGUCUGCUGGGCAGUUGCUGACACUGAGGAGCGAAAGCGUGGGGAGCGAACAGG